GAGUAGUUCGAUUUCGUCCUAUUCUUCUUAGUAGUGAGUUGAGACCGGUUGGGAGAACGAAUGAAGCGAGUGACCUGGGACGGAUAGAGAAAGGAUUCCUACUGCAGGGGUUUUUUAUAGUGGCGAAGGAUAGUCCGUAGGUGUUACGGAUGAGAGGAGGCUCACCCAGAGGGAGAGAUAAGGAGCUAGGUUGAACUACGGCUGCUAGGAAGAGAGUGAGAGGCC
rnacentral:lncRNA from 1 species